UACGUAGGGUCCAAGCGUUGUCCGGAAUUAUUGGGCGUAAAGGGCGCGUAGGCGGCCCGUUAAGUCAGUGGUGAAAGCCUCCAGCUCAACUGGAGAACUGCCAUUGAUACUGACGGGCUUGAGUACAGACGAGGUUGGCGGAAUUGAUGGUGUAGCGGUGAAAUGCAUAGAUACCAUCAAGAACUCCGAUUGCGUAGGCAGCUAACUAGGCUGUAACUGACGCUGAGGCACGAAAGCGUGGGGAGCGAACAGG
rnacentral:rRNA from 1 species